rnacentral:rRNA from 1 species
AUUGAACGCUGGCGGCAGGCCUAACACAUGCAAGUCGAACGAGUGGCGGACGGGUGAGUAAUGUCUGGGAAACUGCCUGAUGGAGGGGGAUAACUACUGGAAACGGUAGCUAAUACCGCAUACCAUCGGAUGUGCCCAGAUGGGAUUAGCUAGGCGGUGGGGGAACGGCUCACCUGGGCGACGAUCCCUAGCUGGUCUGAGAGGAUGACCAGCAACACGGGAACUGAGACACGGGCCAGACUCCUACGGGAGGCAGCAGUGGGGAAUAUUGCACAAUGGGCGCAAGCCUGACGCAGCCAGGCCGCGUGUAUGAAGAAGGCCUUCGGGUUGUAAAGUACUUUCAGCGGGGAGGCGUUACCCGCAGAAGAAGCACCGGCUAACUCCGUGCCAGCAGCCGCGGUAAUAC